rnacentral:rRNA from 1 species
GACGAACUGUUCUAACGUUAUUCGGAAUCACUGGGCUUAAGGGCGCGUAGGCUGUUUGUUAAGCGGGGUCUGAAAUCCCUCGGCUCAACCGAGGAACUGGGCUUCGAACUGGCAGACUAGAGUGAAGUAGGGGUAAGCGGAACUUGCGGUGGAGCGGUGAAAUGCUUUGAUAUCGCAAGGAACACCGGCGGCGAAGGCGGCUUACUGGGCUUCAACUGACGCUUAAGCGCGAAAGCUAGGGUAGCGAACGGGAUUAGAUACCCCCGUAGUCCCUGAGCGGGCUGGCAA